rnacentral:rRNA from 1 species
AGGACGAACGCUGGCGGCGUGCCUAACACAUGCAAGUCGAGCGAGGAGAUUCCUCGGGAUGAUUCUAGCGGCGGACGGGUGAGUAACACGUGGGCAACCUGCCUCAUAGAGAGGAAUAGCCUUCCGAAAGGGAGAUUAAUACCUCAUAACAUUGCAGUUUCGCAUGGAACAGCAAUUAAAGGAGUAAUCCGCUAUGAGAUGGGCCCGCGGCGCAUUAGCUAGUUGGUGAGGUAAUGGCUCACCAAGGCGACGAUGCGUAGCCGACCUGAGAGGGUGAUCGGCCACAUUGGGACUGAGACACGGCCCAGACUCCUACGGGAGGCAGCAGUGGGGAAUAUUGCACAAUGGGGGAAACCCUGAUGCAAGCAACGCCGCGUGAGUGAUGACGGCCUUCGGGUUGUAAAGCUCUGUCUUCAGGGACGAUAAUGACGGUACCUGAGGAGGAAGCCACGGCUAACUACGUGCCAGCCGCAGC